rnacentral:rRNA from 1 species
UACGUAGGGUGCAAGCGUUAAUCGGAAUUACUGGGCGUAAAGGGCUCGUAGGCGGCCAACUAAGUCCGACGUGAAAUCCCAAGGCUUAACCUUGGAACUGCGUCGGAUACUGGAUGGCUUGAAUUCGGGAGAGGGAUGCAGAAUUCCAGGUGUAGCGGUGAAAUGCGUAGAUAUCUGGAGGAACACCGGUGGCGAAGGCGGCAUCCUGGACCAACACUGACGCUGAGUGAGCGAAAGCCAGGGGAGCAAACGGG